AGUAUGAUGUUUCCAUAAUACGUUUGGAUGUUUUCAGCUAAGUUCACUUUCAAACUGUAUGGUUCCUCCAAAUGUUGGCUGAAAUUUAUUCUUGCAUGUCCCAAGGCUCAUCUGCAGGAGUCCACAGCUCCUGAUGGAUCUAGUGUCCUGGCUGUUGGAAGGAGGAGAUUGUGCAGACAGGAAGAUUCAGCCAUCGGUCUUUGAAAUUUCCUGACAUCCGUUUCAGUCUAGAUGGAAAAGAAUUGGAAAAAUCAAGCGCUCAGGGGAUUUAAAUAUGUUUUGAAUGUUUCUGUUUAUAGACGACAGUAUUUUUCCAGUUGAGCUCCUUGGUGUCCCUGUAGGGGAAGGGUAAACUCUUCUUCAUCAUCAAUUUUAUUGAAAAUGCUUAAGACAUAAAAUGUUGCUGAAAUAAUUCCUGUUUGAAACAAAGUG